AAUCAGGAAGUGUUUGCAGCCGAGCAGCUGCUUCACGUGUAUGUUACCUCUUAUCCUGUUCUUUUUCAAAACACAUGUUGAUCUGUAAACAAAGGUACCGUAUUGUAGUUUGAACUGUGUAGCUAGCUACAUGUUCGUCUAGAUUCUAGCCUAAGAAGGUGCAGUGGUCCAGUAAUAUGCAUAAUAUCUUGCUAUGGCUUGGAAGUCAAGGACUUCAGGUGUUCGACACAGAGUUGAAUGCCGACACAAUGGAGUGGUACCCCAUUCCACAACAUACUGGCAUGUGGAACAUCUGUACAGAAGGGACCAGAUAGGCUGGACAAUAGAACGAGUCAAAAUUCACCCAAGGCUGAAAACGGACAAAUAACUUUGGUUAGGAUGAAACACAAGCGCGAGCCCAUAGUACAUGAAUGGAAUCGAACGUCCGCAGAGCAUCUUCUGACUGGAGUGAUGUUUAGAUUUCUAUUUCGCCUAAAUGGUACACAUUUUUAAAAAUAAAUUUUUACUUUCCCACAACAAUGUGUUCUUCGGACGAAACUGAAAACCCCCCCAACUCGUGUAGAAAGUAAACAUCUUCACCUCGA